rnacentral:rRNA from 1 species
UACGUAGGGUGCGAGCGUUGUCCGGAAUUAUUGGGCGUAAAGGGCUCGUAGGCGGUCUGUCGCGUCGGUAGUGAAAACUCGGGGCUUAACCCCGAGCCUGCAGUGGAUACGGGCAGACUAGAGGUAGGUAGGGGAGAAUGGAAUUCCCGGUGUAGCGGUGAAAUGCGCAGAUAUCGGGAGGAACACCGGUGGCGAAGGCGGUUCUCUGGGCCUUACCUGACGCUGAGGAGCGAAAGCGUGGGGAGCGAACAGG